GACGAACCGUGCGAACGUUGUUCGGAAUCACUGGGCUUAAAGGGCGCGUAGGCGGGCCCUCAAGUCCGGGGUGAAAUCCUCCCGCUUAACGGGAGAAGAGCCUCGGAGACUGAGGGCCUCGAGGGAGGUAGGGGCGUGCGGAACUAUGGGUGGAGCGGUGAAAUGCAUUGAUAUCCGUAGGAACUCCGGUGGCGAAGGCGGCACGCUGGACCUCUUCUGACGCUGAGGCGCGAAAGCCAGGGGAGCAAAGCGGG
rnacentral:rRNA from 1 species